UCUGUGCCUGCCGCAGUGCAACCGUGUAAUGCCAUUAGUCAGCUUUUGCAUUUCUGCACUGUGAGAGUGCUUCAAUAUUCUUCUCAAGGUGUUUUCUUUCUCCCCGAGCGCCUCUUCAAGGCUCCGGGGGCGGCUUAAUUUUCACUAUAAGCGGAGCCGUGGCCCCGUCUUGUUUGUUUGUCAACUGAUACGCCGCUCCGUCCCAACUAUGUUACUUUAAAAAAAAAAAAGCGACGCAGUGAGCUUUUAGGGAGCGAUGCCAUUGUUGAUGUACUUCACAGCCCGUUUGCUAAUUGCUAUCUACAGCUCAAGCAGCCAUGUGUUCUGUUAUUCUUGUUGUUCCCUGUUCUGUCGCUAAGAGCGAAUGCUGCGCUCACUUUCUGUCUGUUUCUGUCUUUUCGCUGCUUCGUCGUAUACACACCAACUGAGAUGAACACCGGGAGGCACAGGCACACCUUACACAAACAGACAAGGACCAGCUGCGUAACGGAUUGGAACAGCUGGAAUAAACGCGUAAAAAACGGUGUGCUGAGAGGCUGCAAUCAAAUUCGAAGCGCCGCCAACAACUGUUGAGGAAAGGAUCUGAUGAACAAAUGGAAAUGCAGGCGGCUGACGGGCAUGCUGAUUGCCAUACGCAGCCUGGACAGGAUUGGGGAUCGCUGUUCCGACAGUAAAGGCCGCCGUCGUGGAUCGCGGUCCCAGUUAAUGACCUCUGCUGCGCGUUGUGGAAAAUGUCUGCAUAGCUGCCGGUGUUGCUGUGUCCAUCUGUCUGUCAGAAGAAAAAAAAAUGGAGGUCACCGCCUAUUCUGGGAGACCAACUGUCAAUAACGAGGCUGCAGGGGUGGAGAGGUGCCGAAGGCCCUUUGCCCGUCUGUGCCUGAGGUAGAUGGCCGGAGGCCGAGAAGAUGUGCUUCUCAAAGGACUGCUUCAAGGAGGAAAGUCAUAUAAUAAAACUUACCCAGUCUCAUCAAACACAGUAACGUCAAACUGUUACGCUAGAUAGCCCUAGUUUUCCAUGUGUCGAAUCCUUUUGUCACAUAAAAAAAAGGUUGUGUGUUUCGGGUUCAAAUAAGUAUGUUGUGGUAAUUUACUAGACUGCAUUAUCUAAAUGACGUAGAUAUGUUAACUUAGCUUAGAAUAAGUCAAAAUUGACUUUAGGUUUCACAUGGGAAACAAACAACUUUUGUUAUUUGACCCAUCUACGUAAUCUGACCUCCUCCUUCACUUACACCACAACAUCUGCAAGUAGAGAGUCAUAGUUUGACGAGUAGGAACACCGACAAAGUUGCAGUAUCUGACGUGUUGGGAGUGGAAACUGGAUGACUAAAAAAAAUAUACACACUUAUAUUUAUGUUGACUUAGUAUUAUUGUAUUCUCAAUAUAUAUGUUUUAUGUGGUUCAUAGAACAUUAUCCCUUUUCUCCCAAUAAAAAGCAAUGCUCUUUUUACCCAAGCAAAG
ensembl:lncRNA